UGCGUAGGCGGUCCGAUAAGUCCGUCGUGAAAUCUUCACCGCUCAACGGGAAGGUGUCGCUGGAAACUGUCGGGCUAGAGUGCCGGAGAGGUGAGUGGAAUUCCUGGUGGAGCGGUGGAAUGCUUAGAUAUCAGGAAGAACACCGGUGGCGAAGGCGACUCACUGGCCGGCUACUGACGCUGAGGCACGAAAGCCAGGGGAGCGAACG
rnacentral:rRNA from 1 species